GGAAAUUGACUGAUUUGCCCAGGCUCACACAGGUAGUGAAUGACAGAGCUGGGAUUUGAACUCAGGUCUUCUGACUCUCCAUUCAGUGCCUUUUCCACUACAUACCAACUCUAUGUGACAUAAUAGAAGUUGGCUCUAGGAAUAGGGCAAAGCCAGCCCUGGUCUGCCUGCCUGCCCCUGGGAAAACCUCUCUUACCCCUCUCUCCCCUCCGUGUCUCUCUCUUGGCCUCUCCUAAGCUCUGGCUCCUUCUCUCUCAGAUGGUGCUACACAUUCUCAGCCUCAUCUCAGAACAGGACAGAGCUACUCUGAAGGUAUACUGCUUGCUAUGGGCCCUAGAGCCUCCCAAGGCAUUUUCUUGGCCCUCCACUAGCUCCACUCUGCACCUCCCUGCCUUUGUCCUGCCCUGCCCUGCCCUUCUCAACUCUGCCUCUGCUUGCCCCCUUCCCCCCACCCCUACAUCAGAAGGGGUCCCUUGGACUGAGAGGCUUUGUAUGGGUGGUGACUAGUCGGUUUCCCCUCAAUGUACCAGCAAUGGAGGCCAAUAUGUUUUGGGGGUGGGAGGGUCUCUCCUUCAGGGGAAGUAUCCAUGGCCGGAUUCCAUCGGAGGUGCCACUAGGGAGCAAGCUGGGGUGAAGUCUCAGACUGGAAGACACUCGGACCUGUUCCAAGCCAGGGAGCAGGAGGCAGAAGCCGGAGGAGCGAGAGGGUGGCUGACUACCUUGGCCCCUGGGGGGUCAGAGCAGACCCUGGGACAGGGAGAAGCAGCGGAGAAAGGGCCUUUGAAUGACAGGGCUAAGGGAAGGAAACCUCGCUCUGGGACUGGGAUCGGGCAAGACUCUUUCUGCUCAGAAAAGGACAGGACUGAGCGCAUUUCAACAUCAGCAUCAGCAUCAACCACCACGAAUAUUCAGGGGUGUGAGGUGAAAGCUCAGCUUCGUCCUGAGAAGUCAGCAAAAGGAUCUCAUGAGAACCAAGUGAGUUUCCCCAGCCCAGACCUACAAGCUUCAGGGAACCUACAGGUAAUUCUGGAGCUUUAUAGGGAGUUUGGGG
rnacentral:lncRNA from 1 species